GGCUGUGACUCAGUGGCAGAGUGCUUGCCUAGCAUGUGUGAGGCACUGGGUUCGAUUCUCAUCACCA
rnacentral:tRNA from 1 species